rnacentral:lncRNA from 1 species
UUAGAAUCACUAUCUCAUCAUAGCAACAAUAGUCUCACAGUCAUGACACAAUUUUGCAAAAGUGAUAAUGCAAUCCUUAUGAAAGAACCCCACAGUGUUUCCUCUAAAUAAAACUCCAAAGUGCCUUUCUUCUGAAUCAUUUCCGUUUAGCACUCUUUUCCACUGUAGUAAAUGCAUCAGUGAGCACAUCAACGGCAGAUCGAGACUCAUCCUCCUGCAAAGCAGAGAUGUCAAGAGUAAAUGCUACGGACCGAGACAUAGAUGUUGAAACUUGCCCUUAUCCAAAAGAUGUCUGAUAACUUAAGUAAAAUAGAAACUAAAGUCAGAUUGUUACGGUCUCAACACUAAUUGUAAGUAUGCUGAAGCUCAACAAAUUAAUGUGCACACAACGGCAGACCUGGGAAACAACAAGCAAAAAACCAGACGUCGCAUCACAUAGAGACCCCCGGGAGAAAAAAAAAC